rnacentral:tRNA from 1 species
UCAGUCGGUAGAGCAACGGACUGAAAAUCCGUGUGUCGGCGGUUCGAUUCCGUCCCGAGCCA